AUUGAACGCUGGCGGCAUGCUUUACACAUGCAAGUCGAACGGUAACAGGCCGCCAGGUGCUGACGAGUGGCGAACGGGUGAGUAAUGCAUCGGAACGUGCCCAGUCGUGGGGGAUAACUACUCGAAAGAGUAGCUAAUACCGCAUACGAUCUAUGGAUGAAAGCGGGGGACCGUAAGGCCUCGCGCGAUUGGAGCGGCCGAUGUCAGAUUAGGUAGUUGGUGGGGUAAAGGCUCACCAAGCCAACGAUCUGUAGCUGGUCUGAGAGGACGACCAGCCACACUGGGACUGAGACACGGCCCAGACUCCUACGGGAGGCAGCAGUGGGGAAUUUUGGACAAUGGGCGCAAGCCUGAUCCAGCAAUGCCGCGUGCAGGAAGAAGGCCUUCGGGUUGUAAACUGCUUUUGUACGGAACGAAACGGCUCUGGUUAAUACCCGGGGCUAAUGACGGUACCGUAAGGAUAAGCACCGGCUAACUACGUG
rnacentral:rRNA from 1 species